UACGAAGGCGGCAAGCGUUGUUCGGAUUUACUGGGCGUACAGGGAGCGUAGGCGGUUGGGUAAGCCAUCCGUGAAAUCUCCGGGCCCAACCCGGAAAGAGCGGAGGGGACUGCUCGGCUAGAGGAUGGGAGAGGAGCGCGGAAUUCCCGGUGUAGCGGUGAAACUUGUAGAGAUCGGGAGGAAGGCCGGUGGCGAAGGCGGCGCUCUUGAACAUUUCUGACGCUGAGGCUCGAAAGCGUGGGGAGCAAACAGG
rnacentral:rRNA from 1 species